UACAGGGGAUGCAAGUGUUAUCCGGAAUUAUUGGGCGUAAAGCGUCUGCAGGUUGAUAUUUAAGUCUUUUGUUAAACCUCCGGGCUCAACCCGGAAUCUGCAAAGGAAACUAUAUAUCUUGAGUAUGGUAGGGGUAAAGGGAAUUUCCAGUGGAGCGGUGAAAUGCGUAGAUAUUGGAAAGAACACCAACGGCGAAGGCACUUUACUGGGCCAGUACUGACACUCAGAGACGAAAGCUAGGGGAGCAAACAGG
rnacentral:rRNA from 1 species